GCUUACGGCCAUACCACCAUAAAAACGCCCGAUCUCGUCUGAUCUCGGAAGCUAAGCAGGGUCGGGCCUGGUUAGUACUUGGAUGGGUGACCGCCUGGGAAUACCAGGUGCUGUAAGCA
ensembl:rRNA 5S_rRNA 5S ribosomal RNA